CCAACCAGGUCGGUGUGAGCAAACAUGUGGAGCCCAGCAAAACGAUAUUCAUCCNNNNNNNNNNNNNNNNNNNNNNNNNCCCCUCCGCACUCACGGUUCCCCGGGCCCCAUUCGAUAACACGGGUCGGGUUCUGCAGCUCGAAGUCGUGCAGGGCCUCGUACCUGAGUCAACAUGGCGGCCGUGAGGGGCCGGGGGCGUUAUAGGGUCGGGGCCGAGGUGUUGGACUCACAUAUGAAGGGACUCAAGCAGCCAUUGCUCCUCUUCAUCUUCUUCCUCCUCCUCCUCUUCCUCGCCGCCAUGUUGCCCCGCCGCCUCCAUUGCAAACGCGGCUUGUCGCGCUCUAGUGACGUCACGCGUCGGCGCGCAACACUGACGUCAUAUCGCGUCGCGUAGAAGUGACGUCACAACUGGAUUGACCUUGACUAAGUGCGUGAGGCCGCACGAACAGGCCCCAAUGUCCGCCAUGUUGGAUUCCUGGCCAAAUCCCACCUCAAUGGGGAUCUGGGGAUUCCUAUAGAAGACCCUAUAGAAGAGCUUCCUAUAUAAGGCCCCAAAUCCCCUAUUUAUGUGUUGUCUGUCCAUAAAAGACCCCAAAUCCCCCUAUUGAUGUGAUGUCUCUUUAUAAGAGACCCCAAAUCCCCUAUUUAUGUGUUGUCUCUCCAUAAAAGACCCUAAAUCCCCCUAUUUACGUGACAUCUAUUCCUAAAUAAGACCCCAAUUCCUCCAUCUCUGUAUCCUCUCUUCCUAUAUAAGACCCCAAUUCCCCUAUUUAUGUGUUGUCUCUCCAUAAAAGACCCCAAAUCCCCCUAUUUAUGUGAUGUCUCUUCCUAUAUAAGACCCAAAUUCCCCUAUUUAUGUGAUGUCUGUUCCUAAAUAAGACCCCAAUUCCUCCAUCUCUGUAUCCUCUCUUCCCAUAUAAGGCCCCAAUACCCGUAUUUAUAUGUUGUCUCUCCAUUAAAGACCCCAAAUCCCCCUAUUUAUGUGAUGUCUCUUUAUGAGAGACCCCAAUUCCCCUAUAUAUGUGAUGUCUCUUCCUAUAUAAGACCCAAAUCCCCCCAUUUAUGUGACAUCUAUUCCUAAAUAAGACCCCAAUUCCUACAUCUCUGUAUCCGCUCUUCCUAUAUAAGGCCCCAAUUCCCCUAUUUAUGUGUUGUCUCUCCAUUAAAGACCCUAAAUCCCCCUAUUAUAUGUUGUCUCUUCCUAAAUAAGACCCCAAGUCCUACAUCAUUGUAUCUUCUCUUCUUAAGACCCCAAUUCCCCUAUUUAUGUGUUGUCUGUCCAUAAAAGACCCCAAAUCCCCCUAUUUAUGUGAUGUCUCUUCCUAAAUAAGACCCCAAGUCCUACAUCUGUGGAUCCUCUCUUCCCAUAUAAGGCCCCAAUACCCCUAUUUAUA
rnacentral:lncRNA from 1 species